GGGACACCGGUUACAAAGAUGCGGAGAGCGAAGGCUUAUGGAGGGAUUUAGACACCAACAAUCAACGCUUAUACGAUCAACGUUUGGAGACACUGAAAAACAUUUAUUCUGAAGCUAUUAACAACAUUCCAUUUGAAGACGAAGAUAGUUUUACUGAAGAAUUCACGGAACGGCCACGGCGGCCACGGCGGUCACGACGUUCACUGCAGGACAGGAUCAACGCCAGGGUGGAGAUCCUGGUUGUCGUCGACAACGCCAUCUACCGGGAGUAUCUGAAGAAGUCCAGGAACCAGAAGCGUGAAGCUCUAGCGUUUCUUCGCCAAUAUUA